CCUACGGGAGGCAGCAGUAGGGAAUUUUCCACAAUGGGCGAAAGCCUGAUGGAGCAAUACCGCGUGCAGGAUGAAGGCCUUCGGGUCGUAAACUGCUUUUAUGUGCGAAGAAUUUGACGGUAACACAUGAAUAAGGAUCGGCUAACUACGUGCCAGCAGCCGCGGUCAUACGUAGGAUCCAAGCGUUAUCCGGAAUUACUGGGCGUAAAGAGUUGCGUAGGUGGCAUUAUAAGUGGAGCGUGAAAGCGUGCGGCUCAACCGCAUUAUUGCGUUCCAAACUGUGAAGCUUGAGUAUGGGAGAGGUAGAUGGAAUUUCUAGUGUAGGAGUGAAAUCCGUAGAUAUUAGAAGGAACACCGAUGGCGUAGGCAGUCUACUGGCCCAUUACUGACACUAAGGCACGAAAGCGUGGGGAGCAAACGGGAUUAGAUACCCCGGUAGUCCACGCUGUAAACUAUGGAUGCCUAGCUGUGACACACAUCGACCUGUGUCGUAGCGAAGUUAACGCGUUAAGCACNCCGCCGNGGAGGUACGGUCGCGAGAGUAACUACAANAGAGUAGACGCGUGAGACGUAGCCGACGGACGACGACGACGGGAGGAGG
rnacentral:rRNA from 1 species